AUGGCUCCACCAGCGGCCCUGUACGACCCAUCUUCACCAGCAAACACUCAAGACCCUCGCAAGGGGCCAAGCCUUGCGAGGCAGACGAUGCAAGACCUCCUCAGGGGUGGCCUCACCAGGCUGGCUCGCAAGGGCGGAGAGAUCAAGUCAAGGGACACCUUGGGAGGUUUGCGUGACGCAAGCCAUGACGACUGGAGCCAGGCGGGCGCCAGGGCGCGCACUGUCCUCGUUUCCUCUUUGGUGCUAAAAGGGCAAGCGCGGGACAUGGAGCCCAAGACAGCAUCACCACCAGAGCCUUUGGCAGGCGAAGACUACUUUUGUCAGGAUAGCUCGUACUAG
rnacentral:rRNA from 1 species